AUACAGGCUUUACUCAAAGCCAUUGCUUGCAUACAAGGUAAAUCCC
rfam:Planktothrix tepida PCC 9214 isolate BBR_PRJEB10993 genome assembly, scaffold: BBR_B_PL9214_scaffold57